rnacentral:piRNA from 1 species
UUGAAAACAUUUCCCAUGAACUUCGGGUA